GACGAACCGUGCGAACGUUGUUCGGAUUCACUGGGCUUAAAGGGCGCGUAGGCGGGUUACCAAGUCCGGGGUGAAAGCCCCCAGCUCAACUGGGGAAGUGCCUCGGAUACUGGUGACCUCGAGGGGGGUAGGGGCGGGCGGAACUUCCGGUGGAGCGGUGAAAUGCAUUGAGAUCGGAAAGAACACCAACGGCGAAAGCACUCUGCUGGGCCGACACUGACACUGAGAGACGAAAGCUAGGGGAGCAAAUGGG
rnacentral:rRNA from 1 species